AUUGAACGCUGGCGGCAGGCCUAACACAUGCAGGUCGAGCGGAUGAGUGAGCUUGCUCCAUGAUUCAGCGGCGGACGGGUGAGUAAUGCCUAGGAAUCUGCCUGGUAGUGGGGGACAACGUUUCGAAAGGAACGCUAAUACCGCAUACGUCCUACGGGAGAAAGUGGGGGAUCUUCGGACCUCACGCUAUCAGAUGAGCCUAGGUCGGAUUAGCUAGUUGGUGAGGUAAAGGCUCACCAAGGCGACGAUCCGUAACUGGUCUGAGAGGAUGAUCAGUCACACUGGAACUGAGACACGGUCCAGACUCCUACGGGAGGCAGCAGUGGGGAAUAUUGGACAAUGGGCGAAAGCCUGAUCCAGCCAUGCCGCGUGUGUGAAGAAGGUCUUCGGAUUGUAAAGCACUUUAAGUUGGGAGGAAGGGCAGUAAGUUAAUACCUUGCUGUUUUGACGUUACCAACAGAAUAAGCACCGGCUAACUUCGUGCCAGCCGCCGCCGUAAGAC
rnacentral:rRNA from 1 species